rnacentral:tRNA from 1 species
GGUGGGGUGACUGAGCAGGCUAGGUCGCGGCCCGCACGGCCGUGUACGCAGGUUCGAUUCCUGCCCCCACCU